rnacentral:rRNA from 1 species
GGCGAUUGGGGUUUGAUCCUGGCUCAGGACGAACGCUGGCGGCGUGCUUAACACAUGCAAGUCGAGCGAGGCCCUCCUUCGGGAGGUGUCCUAGCGGCGAACGGGUGAGUAACACGUGGGCAACCUGCCCCUAGCACUGGGAUAACCCCGGGAAACCGGGGCUAAUACUAGAUAUGACUUCAGAGGGCAUCCUUGGAAGUGGAAAGGUUCUCUGGCUAGGGAUGGGCCCGCGGCCUAUCAGCUUGUUGGUGGGGUAACGGCCUACCAAGGCGACGACGGGUAGCCGGCCUGAGAGGGCGACCGGCCACACUGGGACUGAGACACGGCCCAGACUCCUACGGGAGGCAGCAGUGGGGAAUAUUGCACAAUGGGCGAAAGCCUGAUGCAGCGACGCCGCGUGAGGGACGAAGGCCUUCGGGUUGUAAACCUCUUUCAGCUCCGACGAAGCGAGAGUGACGGUAGGAGCAGAAGAAGCACCGGCCAACUACGUGCCAGCAGCCGCGGUAAUA